UCGGAGCCAUCCCCCUGGGGGAAAAGAGGAGGAGCUUACAGCGUCUGGAGACCCAGUCCUGGAGGAGGAGUAUGACGACGCGGGAGAGCCCGAGGACGGUCCGGGGGAGGGGGCCCAGGAAGCCAGGAAGCUGCUGAGCCCCCAGGUGGCAGCCUGGACCUUGAAGCUCCAGCUGGGAUGGAAGAACAUGGUGGCUCCUGCCCUAGGAUGUGAUGACCUUGAUCUGGGGGGCAUUAGUGUAUCAAGAGGGUGGGAUAACCCGGGGAGUCUGGGUCUUCACUGUCCUCAUUCUUAUAACAGAUGUUAUUAAACUGCCUUUGAACUCA